rnacentral:lncRNA from 10 species
UGGAUAGGAGUUAGCCACUUUGAGUCUCUAUACUCUUAGGGGUGACCUGUCUACAGAUAGGAGCUACACACUUCAGGUCCCCUCUCUGCUGAGACCUGUUCUGUCACUCAGUAAAGCUCCUCCUCACAUUGCUCAACCUCCAGUUGUCCAUGUAGCUUCAUUCUUCCUGGACAUGGGACAAGAACUUGGGACCUACUGAACAACAGGAGCGAAAAGAGCUGUUACCCAUUCCUGGAUGGCUGGCUGAGCUGUGGGCAAUGACAAGCUCCUGGACUGUGGGAGUGAAGAGUGGCACCCCUUCUGGGGGCCCAGACCUCAGGAUUCCCUGAGCCAGAGCUGCUGUAACACUAUAGUCCUCACACCCUCCAACAGUGCCGGGUGGCUGCCCCACACGACAGGAAGCAGUAGCAGGGCCAGGUCAGCCCAGCGGCUGCAGGCUGGGGAGGCAUAGCAGGACUGAAGGAGCUGUAACACAAACAGACUGAAACACACAAACACUGGAAACACCUCCCUGCUCACCACGCUUCAGGUGGCAAAAAGGAGAGAAGAGCUGAAGCCCUUCUGGGAUCCCAGACCUUGGGGCUCCACAAGCCUGAGCUGUGACAUGCUGUAACACCCUCUCUGGGGUUCUGUGGUUUUUGGCAUCUUCAAGCUUUUGGGCACUACCAUGUUCCCUGGCGCCUUCAGUAGAAACUGUUUGCGAUACGCCUGGUCCAGUUGCAGCGUCACACAGAGCUGGCAUCUGUGCUGGUACCAGGAGCUGCCCACCCACUGGCACUGCGCAGUGGCUGGACCUGUGCUUGCUCGGUCUUACACCCCCUUGCUGCUCCAUGCCUGGCUCACCCUUGGCAGGUGUGGGAUCUGGGCUGGUAGCGAGAGCCAAGCACAGCCUGCCAGGCCGAGUGGGUGGAAUGAGCCCAGUGGGAGCAAACAAAACCAAAGCAGAGGGACCGCCAGCCAUCAUGGAGGUUUCCUGCUGGAGAAGUGACAUCCUAAGGACCCUGUGACAGCCAUAUCCUCGCAGCCUCACGUCCUCACUGCAUCUCAGGGGGAAGAUACCCACCUGGGCGUCAGUAACAGCUGCUUUCCACCUUGGGAGAGUUUGCAAGAGAAAGAGAAAGAGAAAGAACAAGAAAAAGAUAAUGAAAGCCAGAAAAAAUGAAAAAGUCUCACUGGCUAAAAUCAAGAUGUUGGCAGGACCACGUUCCUUUCUGGAGGUCUAAAAGAGACUCUGUUGCCCUGACUUUUCACCUUCUAGGACCCUUCCACAUUUCUUGCCUCAUGACCACUUCCACGCAGCCGUGUCUCUGGUUCUCUG